CCUGCCAUCAGCCCAAGAGCGUUCUCUUUGUUACAGCGGCCCUCACGAGCACCAAGACUGAGCCUCUGCUCAGGUAUCUACAAUGCCCUCGGUGCUCUGCAGGCUCCAAGCACGAUCCAAGGAGCUCACAGGGAAGAAACACAGCACGAAAUGUUGCGAGGGCGCAAGAGAAACGGCCGUCAAUCUUUUUCUGGGAGCUGCUCCACAGCCCCAGAAGGUCAGCAGAACGCACGCCUAAGGACGGAGCUGCCCGCUCACUGGCAGCACCACACGGACGCCACAGCGCUGAGGGCGCCCGGCAGCACCACACGGACGCCACAGCGCUGAGGGCGCCCGGCAG
ensembl:lncRNA